UACGUAGGGGGCAAGCGUUAUCCGGAUUUACUGGGUGUAAAGGGAGCGUAGACGGCGAGGCAAGUCAGAUGUGAAAGGUGUGGGCUCAACUCACAAACUGCAUUUGAAACUGUUUUGCUAGAGUGCAGGAGAGGUAAGUGGAAUUCCUAGUGUAGCGGUGAAAUGCUUAGAUAUUAGGAGGAACACCAGCGGCGAAGGCGGCUUACUGGACUGUAACUGACGUUGAGGCUCGAAAGCGUGGGUAGCAAAC
rnacentral:rRNA from 1 species